rfam:Triticum aestivum genome assembly, contig: Triticum_aestivum_CS42_TGACv1_scaffold_020160_1AS
CUUGUACUCCCUCCGUCCGAAAAUACUUGUCAUCAAAAUGGAUGGAAAGGGAUGUAUCUAGAACUAAAAUACGUCUAGAUACAUCUCUUUUAAUCCAUUUUGAUGACAAGUAUUUCCGGACGGAGGGAGUAUGCA